GACGAACGCUGGCGGCGUGCCUAAUACAUGCAAGUCGAACGCUGAAGAGAGGAGCUUGCUCUUCUUGGAUGAGUUGCGAACGGGUGAGUAACGCGUAGGUAACCUGCCUUGUAGCGGGGGAUAACUAUUGGAAACGAUAGCUAAUACCGCAUAACAAUGGAUGACACAUGUCAUCUAUUUGAAAGGGGCAAUUGCUCCACUACAAGAUGGACCUGCGUUGUAUUAGCUAGUAGGUGAGGUAAUGGCUCACCUAGGCGACGAUACAUAGCCGACCUGAGAGGGUGAUCGGCCACACUGGGACUGAGACACGGCCCAGACGCCUACGGGAGGCAGCAGUAGGGAAUCUUCGGCAAUGGGGGCAACCCUGAACGAGCAACGCCGCGUGAGUGAAGAAGGUUUUCGGAUCGUAAAGCUCUGUUGUAAGUCAAGAACGGGUGUGAGAGUGGAAAGUUCACACUGUGACGGUAGCUUACCAGAAAGGGACGGCUAACUACGUG
rnacentral:rRNA from 1 species